rnacentral:tRNA from 1 species
GCUCUCUUAGCUCAGCUGGAUAGAGCAUCGGACUUCUAAUCCGAGGGUCGGGGGUUCGAAUCCCUCAGGGAGCACCA